rnacentral:sRNA from 1 species
AGCCUAAACCAUGAGAUUUUAUCGUGGCAGGGCGAAAAAUCCCAGUGAAAGAUAGAGAACUCCUCGUCAGAGUUGCCUUUCACUGGGUGACAAUCCGAAAGGGUUGUCGGUAGCUUUUGCUACC